ACAUGCAAGUCGAACGAUGAACCACUUCGGUGGGGAUUAGUGGCGAACGGGUGAGUAACACGUGGGCAAUCUGCCCUUCACUCUGGGACAAGCCCUGGAAACGGGGUCUAAUACCGGAUACCACUACCGCAGGCAUCUGUGGUGGUUGAAAGCUCCGGCGGUGAAGGAUGAGCCCGCGGCCUAUCAGCUUGUUGGUGAGGUAAUGGCUCACCAAGGCGACGACGGGUAGCCGGCCUGAGAGGGCGACCGGCCACACUGGGACUGAGACACGGCCCAGACUCCUACGGGAGGCAGCAGUGGGGAAUAUUGCACAAUGGGCGAAAGCCUGAUGCAGCGACGCCGCGUGAGGGAUGACGGCCUUCGGGUUGUAAACCUCUUUCAGCAGGGAAGAAGCGAAAGUGACGGUACCUGCAGAAGAAGCGCCGGCUAACUACGUGCCAGCAGCCGCGGUAAUACGUAGGGCGCAAGCGUUGUCCGGAAUUAUUGGGCGUAAAGAGCUCGUAGGCGGCUUGUCACGUCGGGUGUGAAAGCCCGGGGCUUAACCCCGGGUCUGCAUUCGAUACGGGCUAGCUAGAGUGUGGUAGGGGAAAUCGGAAUUCUGGUGUAGCGGUGAAAUGCGCAGAUAU
rnacentral:rRNA from 1 species